UACGAAGGGGGGCUAGCGUUGUUCGGAUUUACUGGGCGUAAAGCGCACGUAGGCGGAUCGAUCAGUCAGGGGUGAAAUCCCAGAGCUCAACUCUGGAACUGCCUUUGAUACUGUCGAUCUGGAGUAUGGAAGAGGUGAGUGGAAUUCCGAGUGUAGAGGUGAAAUUCGUAGAUAUUCGCAAGAACACCAGUGGCGAAGGCGGCUCACUGGCCCGGUACUGACGCUGAGGUGCGAAAGCGUGGGGAGCAAACAGG
rnacentral:rRNA from 1 species